CAGCAGUAGCCGCGGUAAUACGAAGGGUGCAAGCGUUACUCGGAAUUACUGGGCGUAAAGCGUGCGUAGGUGGUGGUUUAAGUCCGCUGUGAAAGCCCUGGGCUCAACCUGGGAAUUGCAGUGGAUACUGGAUCACUAGAGUGUGGUAGAGGAUAGUGGAAUUUCCGGUGUAGCAGUGAAAUGCGUAGAGAUCGGAAGGAACAUCUGUGGCGAAGGCGACUAUCUGGGCCAACACUGACGCUGAGGCACGAAAGCGUGGGGAGCAAACAGGAUUAGAUACCCCGGUAGUCCCUGUCUCUUAUAC
rnacentral:rRNA from 1 species